AAAAUGGAGAGUUUGAUCCUGGCUCAGGAUGAACGCUGGCGGUAUGCUUAACACAUGCAAGUCGAACGGUCUUUUCGGAGAUAGUGGCGGACGGGUGAGUAACGCGUAAGAAUCUACCUUCAGGUU
rnacentral:ncRNA from 2 species